rnacentral:rRNA from 1 species
UACAGAGGGUGCAAGCGUUAAUCGGAAUUACUGGGCGUAAGCGUGCGCAGACGGUUGCGUAAGUCAGAUGUGAAAGCCCCGGGCUCAACCUGGGAAUUGCAUUUGAGACUGCGUAGCUAGGGUGCGGAAGAGGGAAGCGGAAUUCCGGUGUAGCGGUGAAUGACGUAGAUAUCGGAAGGAACACCAGUGGCGAAAGCGGCUCCUGGUCCAGCACCGACGUC